rnacentral:piRNA from 1 species
UGUUUCAUUUGGCAUGAGCCUUGAAGGU